GUGGCUUCUUUGUCACGUCUGUGGGGUUAGAAAAACCGCCAUUCCCGAGUCACAUACAGGGCAUGGUGUAACUAACCGGACGGGUUUGACAUGGAGGCUCAGAAGCUGUUCGCGGCAGGACUGCUAGGCGGCGCUGUUGCACUGCUGCUUGCCAGCUUCUACCCGUUCGGAUUACGUCACAGCAAAGAUCUGACGUGCCAUGGCCCGGCCGGCCCGGUCACGUGGUGGCUGGUGUACCCGGAUGUAGCGCGGCAGGGAUGGAUGUACGUAGACAACACAAG